rnacentral:rRNA from 1 species
GAGGUUUGAGUCCUGGCUCAGAACGAACGCUGGCGGCAGGCUUAACACAUGCAAGUCGAACGCAUCCUUCGGGAUGAGUGGGCAGACGGGUGAGUAACGCGUGGGAAUCUACCUAUUUCUGCGGAAUAACACAGGGAAACUUGUGCUAAUACCGCAUACGCCUCGCAAGAGGGAAAGAGUUUAUCGGAGAUAGAUGAGCCCGCGUCUGAUUAGCUAGUUGGUGGGGUAAUGGCCUACCAAGGCGACGAUCAGUAGCUGGUCUGAGAGGAUGAUCAGCCACACUGGGACUGAGACACGGCCCAGACUCCUACGGGAGGCAGCAGUGGGGAAUAUUGGACAAUGGGCGCAAGCCUGAUCCAGCCAUGCCGCGUGAGUGAUGAAGGCCCUAGGGUGUAAAGCUCUUUCAGUAGGGAAGAUAAUGACGGUACCUACAGAAGAAGCCCCGGCUAACUUCGUG